rfam:Myotis davidii contig217356, whole genome shotgun sequence.
GGUGGUUUUUGGGUAAUGUACCCCAGAAUUGGGCUCCCUCCUCUCUGGGUGGAUCACCAGAGAACCGCA